AAUCCAUAGGUUAAUGAGGCGAACCGGGGGAACUGAAACAUCUAAGUACCCCGAGGAAAAGAAAUCAACCGAGAUUCCCCCAGUAGCGGCGAGCGAACGGGGAGGAGCCCAGAGCCUGAAUCAGCAUGUGUGUUAGUGGAAGCGUCUGGAAAGGCGCGCGAUACAGGGUGACAGCCCCGUACACAAAAGCGCAUGUGCUGUGAGCUCGAUGAGUAGGGCGGGACACGUGGUAUCCUGUCUGAAUAUGGGGGGACCAUCCUCCAAGGCUAAAUACUCCUGACUGACCGAUAGUGAACCAGUACCGUGAGGGAAAGGCGAAAAGAACCCCGGCGAGGGGAGUGAAAAAGAACCUGAAACCGUGUACGUACAAGCAGUGGGAGCACCCUUUGGGUGUGACUGCGUACCUUUUGUAUAAUGGGUCAGCGACUUAUAUUCUGUAGCAAGGUUAACCGAAUAGGGGAGCCGGAGGGAAACCGAGUCUUAAUUGGG
rnacentral:rRNA from 2 species